AAGGUCGUCGCGUUUCAAGACAUCAAGCCCGCCGCUCAGAGGUUUUGUCUUUGUUCUCUCGCUUUACUUGUAUUGAUUUAUGCUUAUUUAUAGUAUCAAGGUUAAAACUCUGCUUCAGGCACUACCUGGUUAUUCCAGUAGAACACAUUCCAACAGUGAGAGACCUUCAGAGAAGAGAUGAAGACUACUCAUUGGGUUGGUUUCACUCAAAACAAAAUACAUCAGUUUCUCAAUCUUGUAUUCUUUAUGUAUAAAGUCACAUGCUAAGUGUUGGAAAAGAACUGUUGCAUAAAGAUGCACCUCAAACCUUACAUAGCAUUAACCUCAUCUGUACUUCCUCGCAGAUUUGGUUUUCACCAGCCACCUUUUAACAGUGUUGAUCAUCUCCAUCUCCAUUGUUUUGCACUAUCUUUUCUGCCCAGAUGGAAAGCUGUCAAGUACAAGUCUUUGGACCUUUUUGGUGGUUUUAUUGAAGCAGAGACAUUGCUGGCCAAGAUAAGGCCUCUUCAUUCAAAGGUGUAACUGAAGAACCGACUCACCUACUUCAUUGCUUGGUGCUUCUCUUCUCACCUAAAAAGACUGUGCUUCUAUAUAGUAUUUUCUGUUCUUUUGUUGGCAAAUCUGUUAUGGAAUGCCAAAGUAUUAUUGUGGAUUAUAUAUGCUAAGUUGCAGUACCUUUAGCGUCUUUGGAUGAUAGGUUCUCUUAGAUCAAGUACAAAUAAAUUAUUUGUUAUGGUGUAACAUUCUGGUGAAGUCUAAAAGGAACCACUGGAACUCAAGAA